AUAGCCUUCAGCUUAAAUCUACCUCAGAAGGGCAAUAAUAGCAGAGGAAAGGUGCACGCCAUGAAUUUCACUGCAGGGUCCCAAGACCCUGAUCUAUCUCUAGUUUAUAUGAUCAGAAAGACACAGGCAUAGGAGAAAUGGUGGGUGUAAAGAGGGACAGAAGAUAAGAGGGAAGGAAUGAGGAUGAGUUUUUUUGCAGGAGCUCGAUGUGACAGUGGAUGCCCUGGUUCUUUUAAAGGGGAACAAAAAUGACAGCAGUAGAGAGGUCAGCCCUGGGAAGGGAAAGGGAAAGAAAGAAAGCAAGACACCCCUUCUACCCCUGGAGUGCUCUGCUGCCCUUCCGUGUUUCCCAGUAGUGUUAUUUGUUCUGAGGUGCUGCUGGUCUUUCCAGGCCUCCCACUGCUCCCCAUCAGAGCCUGUUCUGCAGAGCAUCCUUGAGGCAGGAGAGGCCAGUUGUGCUGCCAAGUAACGAAAUGCUGAGCAACCUGCUGCUGCCCCAACUCAUCACAGGUCUCAGUUUAUGCCCAGAGAGAGCUGUUUGCUGCCUGCUCCUGACGCUUUUCCUCUGAGCAAAGAAAUGGGAGUUUGUCUCCUCUUGUCUCUGUGCUUGCUCUUCAGUGCCUGAGACAGCAAUGAGUACCAGCUCAUCUAUUCUUCCUGGGAAGUGACUAACCUCCACUGCCUAGGAAAUUCUGCAUGUGAUUUUGGUAUUUAUGUAAGCUGCUAGCACACUAUUGCCUGUCCUCACAUCUGAGAAUAAGAAGGGCUGUUCAGUUGGGCACAUAUGGUUAAACGCAGAAUUUUACUCCGUAACUUAUGUGCCCACGAGGCUACGUGCACUGUGCUUCAGCCAAGGCAGAGCAGACGUGAAACUCAAGCCCAAACAAGUGCUUCCUGGGAGCUUUCCAAAGCCAAUCAGUUGCUACUUUGGAAUGCAGGACAGCAGCUGGACACAGGCCAGUUCUUCUAUUAAAUAUCAACAGCAUCGCCACCUGAAGCUACCACAAACAGAACAGAACCAAGUGGAAAAUGCCACUAACUCAUCUAUGGAUUUUUGCCCUGCGCUGCUUUUGGCAGGCUGCAGUAAUCACAUAAUCAUCCAUUCAAAUCAGGAUUGGCAAGAAAGAAACCCCAAGUAAAAUGCAGCUAGGAGUAGAGAGGAAUGCAAAGUUCCAAGUGACUGUCCUCCUUUUGAGGUUUGUUGCUGGUUUUCUAUUUUACUCCUGAAAUAACUUUACUGUUGCUUUGAAACCUCUGAUGCUGUUACAGCUGAGGUAUUAAUCAGCAGUUUACUUGUUAAUGUCCUGGUUUGGGCCAACAGCGGAAACACUGGCUGGCUUGUUUCAUACAAAGGUUCUAAAGAAAGGGCUCUGGGCUGGUGAGCACAGAGCACUUUAUUUUGCUUUUGGAGAGCAGUGAAGAUUUCCUUUUGAUGUACAACUGUUUCCAUCACAGCUUUGAUACAGUGCCUCCAGCAUACAAAACUGCAUCCAUGAUUAUGGAAAUAAAGGCAUAGGAUGGGAAUAAGGCUCCUGCA
rnacentral:lncRNA from 1 species